ACUGGUGUUGGGUAUAAAAUACCCCCAACCGAAGUUCAUAAGAAGCCAACCCUCCCGAGAUCCCUCCGGCUCUAUGCGGCAUCUUUUUCGAAUUUCUCUGGCAGCCGAAUUUCUGACCUGGUGCGACGCUAUGAUAACGCCCCUCCGGACUUCUCCAACGACGAACUUCUUCAGUCAUCCAUCAGACUGCUUCAAAUGCUC
rnacentral:lncRNA from 1 species